GCGAGACUCAUGGACACGCUGGGGGAGAAGAUUCCUUCCCGUCCACUCCUUCCUUCCACAUGUGGAAGCUCAGGCAGAGAGAAGUCAAGUCGCUUGCCCAAGGUCUGUGAGUCUUAAUAUUUAAAUGCUGAAGAUAAACUCCAAGCCCUUCGAAGCACGGCCCUUUUGAUUUUGCGCCAACCCCCGGUGCAGCCAGUGAAGAACUUGUCCUUCACUCGAUGAGUUAGAGCUUUACUCAGGGCACAGGUUGAAAAGUCCAGUUUAGUAAACACGGGCAUUAGCAGUAACCCAAUUCCCUGCGUGCUUCCUGGGUUCCAAGCACUAUGCUGAAUGCUUUACAGGGGCGAUUUAGCCUCUACCGUAAGCCUGCGGUACAGGUAAUAGCAUCAAUCUUAUUUCUGUUCUAAGGAAUAGGAGCUCCAGAGGACUGAGCCUCGUGCCCCUAGAUGCACAGCCAGCUGGCAAGCGGCUGAGUCUUAGCACUGGAAAGGACUCACAGCGCCAACUCACCCACAGGCAGAAUUUUAUUCCCAGAGAGUCAAGAAACUUGCCUGAGGUAAGAAGGGAGAGCCAAACUAUAACAGACUCUUAAAAACUGAGAACAAACGGAGGGUUGAUGGGGGGUGGGAGGGAGGGGGGGGUGGGUUGAUGGGCAUUGAGAAGGGCACCUGUUGGGAUGAGCACUGGGUGUUGUAUGGAAACCAAUCUGACAAUAAAUUUCAUAUUAAAAAAAAAAAAAAAGAAGAAGAAGAAGUGGAACUCAAAUGAAAGCCAAAAGUCUGCAGUCCUGAAACAUGGCCAAAGCCAUUUUGUAGCAAUCCGGUAAAAGCCUUGAAAUGACCAUCUCAUAAAGCAACCAGCCAGACCCUCCUUCCUCCCACCUGAGGGUGCCUCCUGGUCACCUGGCCCUGACUUACUCAGCAUGCACCCCCAUUUUUAAUAGAAAGCAUCCUCAAAUGCAAACUUGUCAACUCAUUCAACAUUCAUUCAACAAACACAUGUCAGGUCUCAGGCCUCUGCAAGGCACGAGGUGAGGGUGGAGGUGCAAAGAUCCGUGGCGUGGAACGUGCCCUCCGGGUCCCUCAAGUGCACCAGCACUCUUACUUCACCAGACAGACAUGGAGGAGCCUGAGAGGUGAUGGCUUUUGCUGUUCCUCUUUAACAGUAAGCGGCGCGAGCUCAUGUUUGCCAGAAGAACUAUGCAAACAUUUAUAUAUCCUAAUACCCAUCAAGGCCGCCCCGAAGCAACCUGCCCUGAAUGGCUUGAGUUCUAUUUCCUCUGUUAAAAUUAAGUGUCCCUGGCUGCAUUCAGGGUACACUGUGUUAACCAGUCAAUGAGCAGAGCCAGGAAACUCAGUUUCGAAGGAAAGGAGA
rnacentral:lncRNA from 1 species